GAUGAACGCUGGCGGCGUGCCUAAUACAUGCAAGUCGAGCGAACGGACGAGAAGCUUGCUUCUCUGAUGUUAGCGGCGGAAGGGUGAGUAACACGUGGAUAACCUACCUAUAAGACUGGGAUAACUUCGGGAAACCGGAGCUAAUACCGGAUAAUAUUUUGAACCGCAUGGUUCAAAAGUGAAAGACGGUCUUGCUGUCACUUAUAGAUGGAUCCGCGCUGCAUUAGCUAGUUGGUAAGGUAACGGCUUACCAAGGCAACGAUGCAUAGCCGACCUGAGAGGGUGAUCGGCCACACUGGGACUGAGACACGGUCCAGACUCCUACGGGAGGCAGCAGUAGGGAAUCUUCCGCAAUGGGCGAAAGCCUGACGGAGCAACGCCGCGUGAGUGAUGAAGGUCUUCGGAUCGUAAAACUCUGUUAUUAGGGAAGAACAUAUGUGUAAGUAACUGUGCACAUCUUGACGGUACCUAAUCAGAAAGCCACGGCUAACUACGUG
rnacentral:rRNA from 1 species